rnacentral:rRNA from 1 species
UUCCGGUUGAUCCUGCCGGAGGCCAUUGCUAUCGGAGUCCGAUUUAGCCAUGCUAGUCGAGCGAGGUUAGCCCUCGCGGCGAACAGCUCAGUAACACGUGGCCAAGCUACCCUGCAGAGGGGGACAGCGUCGGGAAACUGACGGGAAUCCCCCAUACCGGUCUCACGCUGGAAUGCCGAGACCGACAAACGCUCCGGCGCUGCAGGAUGCGGCUGCGGCCGAUUAGGUAGUCGGUGGGGUAACGGCCCACCGAGCCGAUAAUUGGUACGGGGUGUGAGAGCACGAGCCCGGAGACGGAAUCUGAGACAAGAUUCCGGGCCCUACGGGGCGCAGCAGGCGCGAAACCUUUACACUGCACGAACGUGCGAUAAGGGGACUCCGAGUGCGAGGGCAUACAGUCCUCGCUAUUGUGUACCGUAGGGCGGUACACGACCAAGAGCUGGGCAAGACCGGUGCCAGCCGCCGCGGUAAUACCGGCAGCUCGAGUGAUGGCCGAUUCUAUUGGGCCUAAAGCGUCCGUAGCUGGCCCUGCAAGUCCGUCGGGAAAUCCACUCGCCUAACGAGUGGGCGUCCGGCGGAAACUACAGGGCUUGGGACCGGAAGACUUGAGGGGUACGUCUGGGGUAGGAGUGAAAUCCUGUAAUCCUGGACGGACCGCCGAUAGCGAAAGCACCUCAAGACGACGGAUCCGACAGUGAGGGACGAAAGCUAGGGUCUCGAACCGGAUUAGAUACCCCGGUAGUC